rnacentral:tRNA from 1 species
GCCCUCGUAGCUCAAUGGUAGAGCGCGUCACUAGUAACAUUGAUAUACCAAGGUUUGGGUCAUGUGGUACAAAUGACGAGGUUGCCGGUUCGAUUCCGUCCGAGGGCA